CCUACGGGAGGCAGCAGUGAGGAAUAUUGGUCAAUGGACGAGAGUCUGAACCAGCCAAGUAGCGUGAAGGAUGACGGCACGAUGGGGGGUAAAAGGCGUUUAUAAAGGAAUAAAACGAGGCACGUGUGCCUUUUUGCAUGUACUUUAUGAAUAAGGAUCGGCUAACUCCGUGCCAGCAGCCGCGGUAAUACGGAGGAUCCGAGCGUUAUCCGGAUUUAUUGGGUUUAAAGGGAGCGUAGAUGGGUUGUUAAGUCAGUUGUGAAAGUUUGCGGCUCAACCGUAAAAUUGCCGUUGAUACUGGCAGUCUUGAGUACAGUUGAGGUAGGCGGAAUUCGUGGUGUAGCGGUGAAAUGCUUAGAUAUCACGAAGAACCCCGAUUGCGAAGGCAGCUUACUAAACUGUGACUGACAUUGAUGCUCGAAAGUGUGGGUAUCAAACAGGAUUAGAUACCCUGGUAGUC
rnacentral:rRNA from 1 species